GCGCCAUUGGUCUGAUGGAUAAGACGCCCGCCUUCAGUCGGCCCACGUGGCCCCUUCAGAGCGGGAGACGUGAGUUCGAGUCUCACUUGGCGCU
rnacentral:tRNA from 1 species